GUGGUAAUGCCGAAUGUUCCACAUGCUCGCAUGGGUGUGUGGGAAAACGUUUUAGUGCUAUGCGAUGGGAUCGCGUCCUAUCAGCUUGUUGGUGGGGUAGUGGCCUACCAAGGCUUCGACGGGUAGCCGGCCUGAGAGGGCGACCGGCCACAUUGGGACUGAGAUACGGCCCAGACUCCUACGGGAGGCAGCAGUGGGGAAUAUUGCACAAUGGGGGGAACCCUGAUGCAGCGACGCCGCGUGCGGGAUGACGGCCUUCGGGUUGUAAACCGCUUUUAUUGGGGAGCAAGCGUGAGUGAGUGUACCUUUUGAAUAAGCACCGGCUAACUACGUGCCAGCAGCCGCGGUAAUACGUAGGGUGCAAGCGUUGUCCGGAAUUAUUGGGCGUAAAGAGCUCGUAGGCGGUUUGUCGCGUCUGGUGUGAAAGUCCAUCGCUUAACGGUGGAUUGGCGCUGGGUACGGGCAGGCUAGAGUGUAGUAGGGGAGACUGGAAUUCUCGGUGUAACGGUGGAAUGUG
rnacentral:rRNA from 1 species